rnacentral:sRNA from 1 species
UCAGACAGCGACUCAGACUCAGAUAGCGAUUCAGAUUCAGACAGCGACUCAGAUUCAGACAGCGAUUCAGAUUCAGACAGCGACUCAGAUUCAGAUAGCGACUCAGACUCAGACAGCGAUUCAGACUCAGAUAGCGACUCAGAUUCAGACAGCGA